UAGUUGCAUCGGUCACAUAUUUGUCAUUUUUAGUUGUCCAAUGAGAUAUUAGAGGACAACUAAAAAUGACAAAUAUGUGACUGAUGCAACUA
rnacentral:pre_miRNA from 1 species